GGAAGUAAAAAUCGUAACAAGGUCUCCGUUGGUGAGCCAGCGGAGGGAUCAUUACCGAGUUUACAACUCCCAAACCCCUGUGAACAUACCAUUUGUUGCCUCGGCGGUGCCUGCUUCGGCAGCCCGCCAGAGGACCCAAACCCUUGAUUUUAUACAGUAUCUUCUGAGUAAAUGAUUAAAUAAAUCAAAACUUUCAACAACGGAUCUCUUGGUUCUG
rnacentral:misc_RNA from 1 species